UUCGGGGGUACACGAGCGGCGAACGGGUGAGUAACACGUGAGCAAUCUGCCCUUCACUCGCGGAUAACUACCGGAAACGGUGGCUAAUACGUGAUGCGACCGCUUCCUGCAUGGGAUGGUGGUGGAAAGUUUUGGCGGUGGGGGAUGAGCUCGCGGCCUAUCAGCUUGUUGGUGAGGUAAUGGCUUACCAAGGCUUCGACGGGUAGCCGGCCUGAGAGGGUGACCGGCCACACUGGGACUGAGACACGGCCCAGACUCCUACGGGAGGCAGCAGUGGGGAAUAUUGGACAAUGGGCGAAAGCCUGAUCCAGCAACGCCGCGUGAGGGAUGACGGCCUUCGGGUUGUAAACCUCUUUCAGUACCGACGAAGCGCAAGUGACGGUAGGUACAGAAGAAGCACCGGCCAACUACGUGCCAGCAGCCGCGGUAAUACGUAGGGUGCGAGCGUUGUCCGGAAUUAUUGGGCGUAAAGGGCUCGUAGGCGGUUUGUCACGUCGGGAGUGAAAACUCGGGGCUUAACUCCGAGCCUGCUUCCGAUACGGGCUGACUAGAGGUAUGCAGGGGAGAACGGAAUUCCUGGUGUAGCGGUGAAAUGCGCAGAUAUCAGGAGGAACACCGGUGGCGAAGGCGGUUCUCUGGGCAUUACCUGACGCUGAGGAGCGAAAGUGUGGGGAGCGAACAGGAUUAGAUACCCUGGUAGUCCACACCGUAAACGUUGGGCGCUAGGUGU
rnacentral:rRNA from 1 species